rnacentral:pre_miRNA from 12 species
AGUAGAAUUGCUGGGCCACAUGGUAAGUCUAUGUUUUACUUUGUGAGGAAUUGGCAGAUUCCUUACCAAAGUGACUGUACCAUUUUCCCCUCCCACUAGCAAU